rnacentral:ncRNA from 1 species
GCUUAAUUUGAUUCAAACUGGGAAAUCUCACCUGGACUGGAAAUAGAAAGAAUUGACAGAUGAUAGUUCUUUCUCAGUUCUGUGCAUGGUAGUGCAUAGGCAUUCUUAAUUAGUGGAGUGAUUUAUCUAGUUAAUUCCAAUAACAAAUAAGACUUGCCUACUAAUUAGUCAUUCCCAUACAAGUAUCCCAAUGUAAAAUCAGUGCAUAUCUUUAGCCUUAGGUUUAUUUAAAAUUGUUUCUGCUUUUUACAUAAUUUUAAAAGUUCUACUCCCUGUUUUAAAAAUUAAAUUGUUUGGGGUUGUUUGUAGCUCUCAGUCCAUUCUUGC